UGUAAGCGUAUACCAAAGUUGUUGCAGUUAAAACGCUCGUAGUCGGAAUUUGGCAGUUCCGGAUGUGUGCACGUCGUGUGCGCACUUCGCGGGGAUUGCUUUUGUGGUCUUGCGUAGGAUGAGGCACUUUUAUUAGUGAACGUCCUCACGCAACCACUUUUUACUGUGAGAAAAUCAGAGUGCUCAAAGCAGGCAUUUGCCGUGAAUGUAUUAGCAUGGAAUAAUAGAAUUGGACUUGGUUCUAUUUUGUUGGUUUGUUGGGACUGAGUAAUGAUUAAGAGGGACAGUUGGGGGCAUUUGUAUUUCGGUGCUAGAGGUGAAAUUCUUAGAUUACCGAAAGACAAACUGCUGCGAAAGCGUCUGCCAAGGAUGUUUUCAUUGA
rnacentral:rRNA from 1 species